CCCUUAGACACUCUAGGCGGCACGCGCGCUACAAUGGGUGGAAGACCGUGUUACUGCCUUCGAAAGAAGGGGUGAAUCACGAAUUCUUACCCGUGAAUGGGAUAGUUUGUUGCAAUUUUCGGACUUGAACUAGGAAUCCCUUGUAAGCAUGCUCAAGAAUAGCGUGUUGAAUACGUCCCUGCCGUUUGUACACACCGCCCGUCGUUUCUUCCGACUGAUACUCAUUGUGAGUUGCAAGGACCCUUUAUUGGGAAAUUGCUGCGAAUGCUUUGUAUUGGAGGAAGAAAAAGUCGUAACA
rnacentral:rRNA from 1 species